CCUACGGGAGACAGCAGUGAGGAAUAUUGGUCAAUGGGCGUAAGCCUGAACCAGCCAAGUCGCGUGAGGGAUGAAGGUUCUAUGGAUCGUAAACCGCUUUUAUAAGGGAAUAAAGUGUGGGACGUGUCCUAUUUUGUAUGUACCUUAUGAAUAAGGAUCGGCUAACUCCGUGCCAGCAGCCGCGGUAAUACGGAGGAUCCGAGCGUUAUCCGGAUUUAUUGGGUUUAAAGGGUGCGUAGGCGGCCUUUUAAGUCAGCGGUGAAAUUCUGUGGCUCAACCAUAGACUGGCCGUUGAAACUGGUGUUCUUGAGUAUGUUUGAGGCAGGCGGACUGCGUGGUGUAGCGGUGAAUUGCUUAGAUAUCACGCAGAACCCCGAUUGCGAAGGCAGCCUGCCAAGCCAUGACUGACGCUGAUGCACGAAAGCGUGGGGAUCAAACAGGAUUAGAUACCCCAGUAGUC
rnacentral:rRNA from 1 species